rnacentral:rRNA from 1 species
GAUGAACGCUGGCGGCAUGCCUAAUACAUGCAAGUCGAGCGGAAGGACGCGAAGAUCGUUCCUUUGCUGUUAGCGGCGGACGGGUGGGUGACGAGUAGAUAACAUACCUCUAUGACGGGGAUGACUACGGGAAAACGUUGAUAAUAAGAGCUAAUACUUUGAACCGGUGGGAUCAAAAGAUCAUGAGGGCUUUGGUGUUUGUUUUAGCUGGAUCCGCGUUGCAUUAGCUAGUUGGUAAGGUAACGGCAUACCAAGGAAACGAUGCCUAGCCGAGCUGAGGGGGUGAUCCGCCACACUGGAACUGAGACACGGUCCAGACUCCUACGGGAGGCAGCAGUAGGGAAUCUUGCACAAUGGGCGAAAGCCUGACCGAGCAACGCCGCGUGAGUGAAGAAGGUCUUCGGGUCGUAAAGCUCUUUUAUUGGGGAAGAACAGAUGUGUGUGUAAAUGUACACGUCUUGACGGUACCUAAUCAGAAAGCCACGGCUAACUACGUG